UUUUACAGGUUUCUCGCUAACAUUUUAUGCAUGUAAAUAAAUUAUACCCAUUUUUAGGACAUUGCCUUCUUUUUGCAGCGAAUUCAAAAUAUCGAACUCCAUCUUUCAGGGGGCAUGAAAGAGCUGCGAGGUGAGACAUUAUUCGCGACCGAAUGAAAUUAAAAGUGAUAAGCCAUGCAUAGAAAAAAGUGUGUACUCUUUAUUCCGUUUAUACUCCACAGCACAUACACGACGUUACAGGCCUAUAGGUACAAGACGGGUAAAGAAAAUGGUGGUUUCUCAGCUUUUCUUUUAUUCACUUUAAACCAACAGCAUCGCUUGAGCAUUGGUUCGGAUCUGCCAAUAAAUAACGAUAGGAUGAUCGUUUUACGCGUAGAAACGUGGCUUCGAACUUCGAUGAAGUCCUGGUUACAAGCGCAGGCACGCGCGUGUGCGACGAAAAUCCUUUCGCACGUCUCUUUCGAAAACGGGUAAACGUUCGCGGUCGCACGCUGGCUCGCAUUUUGUUUUUUUCGUUCUAAGCGCUAGUGUACGGGAAUAAAAAUAAAAUUUCUAUGGAGAAAAAGAAAUUCGGAAAAAGAGCCGCUACGCUCGAGGAUACCUCGACGCGGCAUUGGUGUAUUUCGCUGAAGCCUGGGAAGCGGACGAUCCGUCGCGGGGACGCGCGAGAACGAUUCGUCGACUCAAAAGGAUCGUUCCUUGAUCCUUUCCUGCGCGGGGGUCUUUCCAGUAGGUGGAACAAGUAUUUUUCAAACGAAUACCGUUCCCAUUGCGUCGCACAUUGUAGUCUCAGGGAAUUCUGUUAAUUUCUGUCCUUACAAAAAAAGAAAAAAGUUACACGAACUAAAUGAAACACUGACUCGAGUGCACUAGAUUCUCUAAUUGUCUCCAUUACGAUUUUGUUCGACCCACUGUAAGGACGUGCUAAAAUUCGUGACCCAUACUUGGAGUACAUGUAGUAUCCACCAAAGUAAGACAAAAGGUGGUGUUGGUAAAUGCGAAGCUUCGUCAGUAAAAAUCGAUAAAGCUUGCAGUUCAUUAGGAUCCUACACUUGUCGCUAUUACUACCGUAAUAUAGGUACUUUAAAUUAUUCAUUCAAAAAGGAGCUCAACCGUAAGCAUAUUCGUAGUAGAAAGGAACACUGUACUGUAUAUAUAAUCACAGUAGUCACGACUCAGGGUUGUAUAAAAUCUUAAUUCGACCCUUAGCACACCCACAGUAUGGACCAUCGAUCUUUAACACACUCUUUAUAAACAAUUAAACGUCGAAGUCGUUUCGUGUAUUCGACGAAUCGUCUCUACGUCGAUCUUGUUCCCCGAACGUUCGUGAACCGUUUUCGUUAAUUUAGGAACCCUACGUCAGUCUAGACCAACAAUCCGUCCUAUCGCGCGCCGACAGGUAUGCAGAUUCCUCUCGUCCCUCGUUACUCGUCACUCCCCCACACUCGCGAACGAUCCGCUUCGCUCGGAGCCGAUACUCCUCACCGUGCCUCUCGUCCGCGUUUCACAAUCAUCGUAAUAAUAAUCGUAAAUCAGCAAUUAUAAUAAUAAUAAUAAUAAUAAUCGCACGACUCGUCGAGUAAGAAAUUGCAACGAUAAUAAUAGAGUAAUAAUAAUUAGCAAUAAUAAAAAUCACCGUUCGUCGCUGGUGUCGCGACCCUCGUCGUACCGUGUGUAUUUAUAAUAUUUAUACCGUUUCGGGGCUGCGAAUCGACGACCGUUGACAUCGUGUCGCCGCCCCAAUAUAUAACUACAUUAACUCGUUCGUGCUCGUCAUCCCCGCGCGAAACUAAAUCGUUCGUCGAUCGUCGAUCGCUGAGAAACAAAUACGCAAUUUUCGACGUUUCUCGCCAAGUCUGGUGUCGCCGUACGCGGCGUACGACAAUCAAUCAAUCGUUAUUGUUUUGCCGUUUAAUUGUAUGUACAGUACUAUAUAUAUAUAUAUAUGUAUAUAUAGUCGAUAAUAUUAAUGCAUUAGUAUUUAUAAUAAUUUACGUGUACGCAUCGCGCGACUACAAUGGGCACGGUAUUCUGUAGGAGUGUUCGUCUCCGCAAACCACAUUCUCUUCAUCGACCCCCGUGUGAUCCAUCGGUUUCUACCCCCCAAUUGUUCUCCCGCCAAACGGCUCCGUUCGUUUCGCUGCACUCGCUUCGACCACGGUCGUUCACACGUGUCCUGAGACUCCUGCAGCAGGACUACCUCCUUAAUAAGUUCAGUGGUAAGAAGCACGAAUGAAAGAUAAGAAAACCAGGAGCGAGGCUGAUCAAUUUCUACCUCUGUUGCGAAUGUCUUCUUUCGUAAGUGUGUGGAGAUCAAAAAGUGGUGGUGAGCAAAAAACGAGGGAGUACAGAUUCGAAUGUUAUAACAGUAAUUAAAAAAAGUUAGAUUUCGCAAGGACCAGCGUUUAACGCGUUAACGAGGCGAGUUUCUCCAACUGGCCACUUUUUUAUCAGUGCUGCGAUCGUCGAGUAAGCUACUAAAAAUUUAAAGGUAAACAUAGGUUAACGUUUCUUUCUUUCAUGCCUUAAGUAUAACCAUGCAAACUAAGACAAAGGACGAGCCUAUAGCUGAAUUCUCGAUUCGAGUUUAUUUAUAAUGUUUUAUCAACCUCGUUCCCAACGUUCCUGCUCACUAGACGAUCGCACCAUUGACUAGCGAUCGAUUUGAGAAACGUUUGGGCCUGGCUGACACACCCAGCCCUACCGACGAAGUUUAGGGACUCGUGUGGACGAUCGCGGGCUCUGUUGGCGCUCGACGAUCGCGCGUCUCUGAUUGCCCGCGGGAGAGAUCGACGACAAAAGGAUCGUCCUCUAAAUGUACAAAAUGAAUGUCUCCGCGAGCCGUCGUCUCGCCGACGCUGUCCUUCGCGCUAUGAAAGUCGGCUACGUGGAAAAACGGUUUAUUGCUGAUCAGGAGUCGAUCUCGUUCUCCGUUUCUCGGUCACUCGAAUCGAGGCAGAUCGACUCGGGUAACCGAGAACGAAGUCGGAGGAUAGAAGGAGAACUAGGGCAGAGUUUCCCCUUGCGAAGAUCAAUGGCGUCUUGCAUAGGUAUACAAAUUCGAUCAAUUGGAGUGAUCGUUGCGCCAGGAAGGUAAUGAACAGGUGCACUUCUCGGUAGCAGCCUUGCUUGUAAUUUAAACAAGGAAAAUAAGGCGAAAAUCGCGAGGGUUAGUAAUUGAAAAUUGCUGUAUUCGUAUGAUGAAAGUUUGCGAUGUCUAAAAGGAAAAGUUCUAUAAAGUACACCUGAUCCUCGCUUUGUCGUCGCAACGAUUACUAACGCCAGUUGAAUUAUCGCGUGGAAAGCGGAGUUGGAUCACGUUCGAAUGACGUCCAACUCCGGCGGAAAGCCUGCUUAAGAAGUGAGCGCGUGGGAGAGCGUCGACGAGCGACGAGUUUGCGUUCAGGUUGUUUUGUUCUCGAUGAGAAACAAAAGGAUCGCAGGUUGGAGCAAACGCUUUCUGCGAUUAGUUGCUAGAUAACGGUCCACGUGUCUCGUUUCGAGGCGUCGGGCAUAUCUAGGGCUACCAUAUCUAAUACGAAGGAACGGGCUCGAUAACUCCACCUAAAAAUCUAUAUUCUAAUUUUAAUCUACGUCUACUAUGCGUCGCGUGUGUACGUGUGUUUACGCGUGUGUCCGUCGGUCGGUUUGCUUGUCUCUCUUCCUCUCAGUCGCUCUCUUUCGCUGCGUUUACGCGCACACAUUCUUGUACAUGCAUGUAUGUGUAUGUAUGUUCGUGUAAUAGUGGUGGAUUCACGUGGGCAGAGGUGCGCAAAACUCUUAUCUAGAUCGGAGAGUAAUCUCGAUGAGGUGUUGAUUCCAUAAAAGGUCUGAAUUAUGAAAUGAGAUUAAGGUAAGCGGAUAUGAUUUUGACGCGAUUCGUCUCUGAUUAUCGAGUCUGAGUGUUGCUUAUUUUUAGAGAACUGUGUACUUUAAAUAAAAAUCGUGAAGAAUUCAAACGUAAAACGGAACAAUUAUACAAAAAGUACAUUUACCCCGUUGGAUCGGAAUAAACGUUGCGAAUAAAAUGCUGUACAGAGAAUCAGGUUCGAAUCAGUAUUCGCCAUGCAUCAUUUAAAGAAUGUUUUGCCCACCUCUGGAUGGGAGAGGGAAAGAUCAGGUCAGGAAGGAACCACGGAGGAACCUCCCUCGUCACGUAAUAUUUUAUCAUUUCCUAAUUCGACCACCGAUCUUUCGAUCUCCCACCUUUGCGCGUUAGUUUCUUCGUGUAUAUGUAUUCUGUCUCGCCUCGAUGCUCUCUUUCUCUCGCACGCACUCUUUCUCACUCUCACUCUCUCUCCCUGGCACCCUCUUCUCUCUCUCUCUCUCUCUCUCUCUCUCGCUCUCUCUCUCGUGUUAAGGACUAAGUUUUAAACUAAGACGUCGCUAUACGCAAAACUACCUCAUCGCUAAUAUUUAACAACAUGGACAUUAUUAUUAUUAUUUCAAAUUUAUCAUCCCCCCCCCUCCCAAUUCCCAGCCCCGUCCCGCUGCUCUCGGAAUAUCGAGUCGUUCAAAAUAUUUCCUCGCUUUUUGUAUCACGCCCGCCGUUUUACCGCGCUAAGAAAAAGGAUUAAUCGAUCGAUCCGAUCGUUGAACCGAUUGCUAUACACCGUAAACUAUCUCGUUACGAUCCUCGAUCCCUCGCGCAACCCUCGGCGUUUCCACAUCCCCUCUCUGUUUCCUCUAAGGUAUCCUGCGUCUUUGACGUCCACCCACCCCCUUCCGCCGUUGUACCCUAUACGAUUUGUAGCGCAAUAUCGGAAACGCAACGUCGAUCGCAAGGCUUUCGCGGCGACGUACGACGACCGAAUGAACGAGAUCUGGCCAAGGUGUUGGUAUGUUUUCCUUUCUCUCUCUCUCUCUCUCUCUCUCUCUCUCUCUCUCUCUCUCUCUCUCUCUCUCUCUCUCUCUCUCUCUCUCUCUCUCUCUCUCUCUCUCUCACUCUCACUGCAUUUUUCAUUUUCCUUGAAAAACGCGCAAUACGGGACACGGAAAUCGUCUGUCUGUCACCGCGAGCGAGCACGAAGAUCGUUCUCGCUUCGAAGAGUCUCAAAGGCACGUCACUUUGAAGGUACCCGGUUAUUUUUUUUAUGCUUCGUUUUCCCUUCACGACAGGCAUGGACAACGAUUAUUAUUAUUAUUAUUACUAUUCUUCAAUUAUCCUCCUUCUUUUCUUUUUUUUUUUUUAUUAUCGUUAUUAGUCAUAUUAGUAGUAUCGUUAGCGUUAGUAUUAUCGAUAGUGUUAAUAUUAACAUUAGCGUUA